GUAAACAUGACUAUGGAUUUUGCAAGGAUCCAAAAAGUGGAGGAAUACUCUCGAAACCACUUCAUUUGAGUGAGACACAGGAGAGUGGAAUUUCGUAUGUAGGGGUGAAACUCAUAGAUCUACGAAGGAACUCCAAAAGCAAAGACAGCUCUCUUGGUUCCUACCGACGCUAGGGUGUGAAAGCAUGGGGAGCAAACAUGAGCGGAAACUGGUUCGCCCAUGCGGCGC
rnacentral:ncRNA from 1 species